UGCGCCGGGGUCGGGAGUUGACGCGUGAGCGAGUUGGGCCGUGGUUCUUGAUCCGGCCCACUAACCCCCCCUAACCCUAGCCGCCCCUUCCCCUAAUUCCCUUCCCCUUGUGCAGCCGCCCCCCCCUCUCUAGCCUUUGGCCGCCAUCCCCUCCCCCUAAUUCCCUCUCUCUUGUGCAGCAGCCCCCAUCCCCUCAACCCUAGCCGCCACCCCCCCCUCCCAUCUCCUCCUCUCCAAGUGAUGUCCUUCCUCGCCGGAUCUUCUUCGUGUGGGUGCAAGUUCCGAUUGGAGAAUUGGUGGGAGGAAGGAAGGAGGAAAGGAGGAACCCAAGGUGAUUUUGUGAUUAACUCUUGUUUAUUUGUGCUGCAAUUCAAUCGAUUAGAUGUUUACGUAUGCGAAUUGGUAGAGGUGCUGUCCAGAAAUUUUGUGGGUGCGCGAACAGCAGUAGUUCUAGCAGAUUCUGGGAAUUUUUCGUGGGUAAUUAGUGGGAAUCAGUGGGAGAAUCAUCUAGAGCUUUUUCAUACCUUUCCAAUGAGUACUUAUGCGCUCGAUUCGGAGUUAUAUUUUAGGAGAUAUCGCUGUUUGAUUCCGGGUAUGUUGCUGUCCAAAAAAAAAAACAGAUUUUGCAGGUGGGCAAACAGCAGUAGUAUUAGCAGUUUCUGGGGAUUUUUCGUGGGAACUUAGUGAUAAUCAAUAUGAGAAUCAUUUAGAGCUUUGUCAUACCUUUCCAACGAGUACUUAUGCACUCGAUUCGGAGUUAUAUUUUAGGAGAUAUUGCUGUUUGAAUCCGGGUAUGUUGCUGUCAAAAAAAAACAGAUUUAUGCAGGUGGGCGAACAGCAGUAGUAUUAGCAGUUUCUGGGAAUUUUUCGUGGGAAAUUGGUGAUAAUCAAUAUGAGAAUCAUGUAGAGCCUUGUCAUACCUUUCCAACGAGUACUUAUGCGUUUGAUUCGGAGUUAUAAUUUAGGAGAUAUCGCUGUUUGAAUCCGGUUAUGUUGCUGUCCAAAAACAGAUUGCAGGGUGUAUCUUGUAGACGAGUUUGGGCUAAUUAGAUGCUGGAAUUUAAUUAUCAUUUGAAUAUAAAACUUGUGAGAAAUUUUAUGUAGAUGCUUCCGUAGUUUUUGAUUGAUAUCACUGCUGUUAUAAUUUUAAAGUUAUGAAAUUAUCAAGCAGCACCGCUGCAGUUUGGUGGUGAUGGGGAGAGUUGUCGCUCGCAACGGGUUGGAAUUGUGCGUAGGUGCGGCGUUGUUUAUUAGCGUUUGUUAUGUUGAUUUGUACACUAAGGUGUGUGUCAAAAACAGGUGGUGGACUUCCGGAUCGUACUUAGUACCAUUCCAAAUUCCCGGUGAAGGCAAGUAAAUACAGUGGUGGUUGCUACCGUUUGGUUUGCAUCCUAUGCCUUGUCAUUGAGUAUGCAUAAGUAUUAAAUGUGUUAAUCAUUGAAUUCUAUGAUGAAGUUUAUUUGUUCAAAAGAAUUAAUUCUCAAUUGUCUAAUAUUGAGGAUGAUCAUGAUUUGGGAAUGAUAUAUGUGGUUGAUUCCCAUCUUAGAUGAAGUUGAAGUAUCUUUUUGAAUCAUGUUGUAUGAAGUGUUGUAGGCAUGUCAUGCACAUCGCAUCAUCCAUAUUGCAUUUUGAAGUUAUGUCGUGAUCUUAUGGUCCGACCGUACCGGUACACUUUUAGCAUCGUACGUUGCCCGAGGAGGGGUACGAUGCGGCUUCAUACCCUUAGAGGUAUGAAGGCAGAAGUCAUCCUUGCAUUUGCAGACAUUUGCACUCAUGAGGUAUAUAUGAAGUGUGACAUUACUAUGUUACUAUUGUGGUUUCUACCUGCGAGGUGUGGUAACUAGGUGUGUUGUACGUUGUAUUCGUGCUGCACCUUCGUAAUAAGAAGGUUGCGAAAUCAAAUGGUGGUAAAACAAUGUUCUUAUGUGGUUAAACAGUUUGUUAUUAUUUUACUUGCUGAGAUGUGUCAUCUCACUCUUGCAUUACUCAAUGCAGGUACUUGAUAUAUGUUGGGAAUGAGGGGAGUAGCAGCACGUCCACUUUCACUCUCAUAUUAAGGCUGCCCAAGCGCAUCCAUGAUUUAAUUAGAAACUUGAUGUCAAAGGAUGUUUUUUUACUAGUCAUGCGCACUGGUUAAUUCAGUUCAUGUCGUAUGUUUAACUUUCCUUUGCUAGCCGUUUAAUAAUACUUAGUAUGUUUUUUGUCAUGAUACAUGUUUAUACACUGUUGCCCCCUCCUUUAUGCUAUUUUGCAAAGGAGAUGCUGUCGAAAUUUUAUAUACGGAUGUCAGAAGUGUAGUUCAGUAGCAUUCCGGGGUGUUUGUGGAUUCCGGGAUGUUACACAAGGGCACAUUUCCCUUUCAAUCUCCCCCCUUUUGGUGAUUUAUGCCAACACAAUAAAAAGCAACUAAAGGAAGUGCAACAUCAAUA
rnacentral:lncRNA from 1 species